rnacentral:piRNA from 1 species
UACAGAGAAACCCUGUCUCUGUACAAA